CAAUAGCGUAUAUUAAAGUUGUUGCGGUUAAAAGCUCGUAGUUGGAUUUCUGUCGAGUGUCUGUCGGUCUAUACAAAGUAUAUGAUCUGAUACGGCCUUGGCAUCCUCUUGGGGAACGCGUCUUGCUUGAAUGCGGGAUGUGGAAUUCAAGACUUUUACUUUGAGGAAAUUGGAGUGUUUACGGCAGGCUGCACGCUUUGAACACAUUAGCAUGGAAUAAUAAUAUAGGACCUCGGUUCUAUUUUGUUGGUUUCUAGAAUUGAGGUAAUGAUUAAUAGGGUCACUUGGGGGCAUUCGUAUUAACGCGUCAGAGGUGGAAUUCUUAAAUUGCGUUACGACGAACUACUGCGAAAGCAUUUGCCAAGGAUGUUUUCAUUGAUCAAGAACGAAAGUAUAGGGAUCGAAGACGAUUAGAUACCGU
rnacentral:rRNA from 1 species